UACGGAGGGUGCAAGCGUUAUCCGGAUUCACUGGGUUUAAAGGGUGCGUAGGCGGUCGUGACAAGUCACUUGUGAAAUCUCCCGGGCUUAACUCGGAACGGUCAAGUGAUACUGUCGGACUAGAGUACAGAAGGGGCAACUGGAAUUCUCGGUGUAGCGGUGAAAUGCGUAGAUAUCGAGAGGAACACCUGCGGCGAAGGCGGGUUGCUGGGCUGAUACUGACGCUGAGGCGCGAAGCCAGGGAGCGAACGGG
rnacentral:rRNA from 1 species